rnacentral:lncRNA from 1 species
CUCGUCUUUGAUGAAGCCCUGCCUUUGCCGCUGAGGACAAAUGUUCUUUCCAAUCCCACGGGAGGAAGAGACGUUCUAAAGAGAGAAUUGAAUUCAUGGUUGGCCAGGAGACAGUGAAAGAGGACCCAGGAGAAAUUGCUGGAAAUUUAUGGUUUCAGGCAUGGCUGGAUCCAGGCGCUUAAAUGACAUCAUUGGGAACCUGUAUCCUGUUGUACGUUGGAUCUGCUUUUCCUGGUGUUGGCUUCAUUCUAGGGCUGGAUUUCCUCAAAUGGAGGAAAGAUGGUCCCAACAGCUCUUAGAUGACCUCUUAUCACUUUGGUAACAGCAGAAAGGGGUCACCUCAUGACUGAUAGCUCAGUUGUCCGGGCCAACUCUGAUCAGCCCAGCUGGAUCUUAUGGCCACCCUUGAGCCAGUCACUAUGUUUCUGCUGGGUUGGGUCAUAUCCUCCAUACAAGUCAUGUCAGAUAUGAUUUCAUUUAGUGUGUGGGAGAGGAAAUGUUCCCCAUGGAAAACUGAGAUGCUAUUAUCCGGAAAAGAAGGAAUGGACACUGGCCAGGCCAAAACAAGCCUAAUUUAAUUUGAUGAGAUAGGCACACAUUGUGCAUGGGGGAGAGUCCCAAAUGGCACCCCAAAGCCACAAUGAAUCUGCACCAAAAUGUGCUGCACCCCCGAUUAACACAGAAAUGAGAGUUAACUCAUGGAUAGUACUAGGAUCCAUGAUGACGAGAUGGUGAUUUUGGGAGAUGUGUUUGUACAUGAGGUCACACCUGGGCCACACAGGUGGGUCCUGGUGAGGCCUUUCUGUCUAGAAGUGAGGGCUGUGUUCUUGAGACUUUGGUAUUACCGAGGGGAGAAAGAGGAAGAGCUGGAGGUCAGAGAACGUAGCUGCAGGCUAGGCAGAUGCGACC